rnacentral:lncRNA from 1 species
UUACAGGAGCUUGCUUCUUCAACUACAGGACUCUUCACACUUAAAACAAGAAGAAAGUGGAAGGCUAUACAGGACUCAAAAGAAGAGUAUACACAAGGGUACAAGAUAGGAGGAAGAAGAGAAACUAUUAGUGGAACACUCCCUCACUGGCUUGUAACUUCUAUCUGGAUCUUAAGAUCUUCAAUAAGCUUUUCAGGAAAGCCUUCUGGCUCUUAGGAUAGCUCCUGAAGCUUGGGAGUCUAGGGGCUUGUCCUCCAAUGUUGGCAUUGGGGGUCUUCUUAUAGAAGUUUGGGUGUUUCAUCUUUAUUUGGGCUUCAAGUAGCUUGACGCCAAAGUAACUUGGUGGUG